rnacentral:rRNA from 1 species
AGUAACGGCGAGUGAAGCGGCAACAGCUCAAAUUUGAAAUCUGGCGCAAGCCCGAGUUGUAAUUUGUAGAGGAUGUUUCUGGCGACGUGCCUUCCGAGUUCCCUGGAACGGGACGCCAUAGAGGGUGAGAGCCCCGUACGGUUGGAUGCCUAGCCUCUGUGAAACUCCUUCGACGAGUCGAGUAGUUUGGGAAUGCUGCUCUAAAUGGGAGGUAUACGUCUUCUAAAGCUAAAUACCGGCCAGAGACCGAUAGCGCACAAGUAGAGUGAUCGAAAGAUGAAAAGCACUUUGAAAAGAGGGUUAAAAAGUACGUGAAAUUGUUGAAAGGGAAGCGUUCAUGACCAGACUUGGGCAGGUUGAUCAUCCGUGGUUCUCCGCGGUGCACUCUGCCUGCCCAGGCCAGCAUCAGUUCGCCCCGGGGGAUAAAGGCUCUGGGAAUGUGGCUCCUCCGGGAGUGUUAUAGCCCACUGCGUAAUACCCUGGGGUGGACUGAGGUUCGCGCUCUGCAAGGAUGCUGGCGUAAUGGUCAUCAACGACCCGUCUUGAAACACGGACCAAGGAGUCGUCUUCGUAUGCGAGUGUUCGGGUGUCAAACCCCUACGCGUAAUGAAAGUGAACGUAGGAGAGAGCUUCGGCGCAUCUCCGACCGAUCCUGAUGUUCUCGGAUGGAUUUGAGUAAGAGCAUACGGGGCCGGACCCGAAAGAAGGUGAACUAUGCCUGUAUAGGGUGAAGCCAGAGGAAACUCUGGUGGAGGCUCGCAGCGGUUCUGACGUGCAAAUCGAUCGUCAAAUAU